rnacentral:rRNA from 1 species
AGCGAACGCUGGCGGCAGGCCUAACACAUGCAAGUCGAGCGCCCCGCAAGGGGAGCGGCAGACGGGAGAGUAGCACGUGGGAACGUACCCUUCAGUUCGGAACAACCCAGGGAAACUUGGGCUAAUACCGGAUACGUCCGAAAGGAGAAAGAUUUAUCGCUGAGGGAUCGGCCCGCGUCUGAUUAGCUAGUUGGUGGGGUAACGGCCCACCAAGGCGACGAUCAGUAGCUGGUCUGAGAGGAUGAUCAGCCUCACUGGGACUGAGACACGGCCCAGACUCCUACGGGAGGCAGCAGUGGGGAAUAUUGGACAAUGGGCGCAAGCCUGAUCCAGCCAUGCCGCGUGGGUGAUGAAGGCCCUAGGGUUGUAAAGCCCUUUCGGCGGGGAAGAUAAUGACGGUACCCGCAGAAGAAGCCCCGGCUAACUUCGUGCCAGCCGCCGCCGUAAUAC